UACGUAGGGUGCGAGCGUUAAUCGGAAUUACUGGGCGUAAAGCGUGCGCAGGCGGUUCGUUAAGUCAGAUGUGAAAGCCCCGGGCUCAACCUGGGAACUGCAUUUGAAACUGGCGGGCUUGAGUGUGGCAGAGGGGGGUGGAAUUCCGCGUGUAGCAGUGAAAUGCGUAGAUAUCGGGAGGAACACCAGUGGCGAAGGCGACUACCUGGCCUGUUCUUGACGCUGAGGCGCGAAAGCUGGGGGAGCAAACGGG
rnacentral:rRNA from 1 species